rnacentral:rRNA from 1 species
AGUGAACGCUGGCGGUAGGCCUAACACAUGCAAGUCGAACGGCCGCACAGUAAGCGCUUGCUCUUACGGGUGGCGAGUGGCGGACGGGUGAGGAAUACAUCGGCAUCUACUUUUUCGUGGGGGAUAACGUAGGGCCACUUAUGCUACUACAGCAUACGUCCUACGGGUUAAAGCAGUGGAUCUUCGGACCUUGCGCGAUUGAAUGAGCCGAUGUCGGAUUAGCUAGUUGGCGGGGUAAAGGCACACCAAGGCGACGAUCCGUAGCUGGUCUGAGAGGAUGAUCAGCCACACUGGAACUGAGACACGGUCCAGACUCCUACGGGAGGCAGCAGUGGGGAAUAUUGGACAAUGGGCGCAAGCCUGAUCCAGCCAUACCGCGUGGGUGAAGAAGGCCUUCGGGUUGUAAAGCCCUGUUGUUGGGAAAGAAAAGCAGCAGGUUAAUACCCCGCUGUUCUGACGGUACCCAAAGAAUAAGCACCGGCUAACUUCGUG